rnacentral:rRNA from 1 species
AACCUGCCCAGUGAUUUUUAUUUAACGGCCGCGGUACUCUGACCGUGCAAAGGUAGCAUAAUCAUUUGCCUUAUAAUUAAAGGCUAGUAUGAACGGUUUGACAAGAAUGAAGCUGUCUCUAGAUAAGUUUUAUAGAAUUUGGUUUUUAGGUGAAGAAACCUAAAUAAAAUUGAAAGACAAGAAGACCCUAUCGAGCUUUAAAAAAAUUUUUUGGCACCAUAGAAAACUAGUUUCAUUAAAAAAUUUUGGUUGGGGCGACUAAGGAACACAAAAAGCUUCCUAUAAAAUAUAAAGACUUUUAAGUUUUGAUCCAAAAGUUUUGAUUAACAAAAUCAGUUACCGUAGGGAUAACAGCAUAAUCUUUCUUGAGAGUUCUUAUCGAAAGAAAGGUUUGUGACCUCGAUGUUGGACUAGGGUAUCCAGAAAGGUGUAGAAGCCUUCAAUGGUUGGUCUGUUCGACCACUAACACCCU